rnacentral:rRNA from 1 species
UACGUAAGGGGGCUAGCGUUGUUCGGAAGUUACUGGGCGUAAAGCGCGCGCAGGCGGCGUAAUCCAAGUCAGUGGUGAAAGCCCGGAGCUCAACUCCGGAACUGCCAUUGAAACUGUUUAGCUUGAGGACGAGAGAGGUGAGUGGAAUUCCCAGUGUAGAGGUGAAAUUCGUAGAUAUUGGGAAGAACACCGGUGGCGAAGGCGGCUCACUGGCUCGUAUCUGACGCUCAGGCGGCGACAGCGUGGGGACUCAAACAGG